CGCGUGGGAACAUACCCUCCGGUUCGGAAUAACUCAGGGAAACGUUUGAGCUAAUACCGGAUACGGCUGAGAGGCGAAAGAUUUAUCGCCGGAGGAUUGGCCCGCGUUCGAUUAGCUUGUUGGUGAGGUAACGGCUCACCAAGGCGACGAUCGAUAGCUGGUCUGAGAGGAUGAUCAGCCACAUUGGGACUGAGACACGGCCCAAACUCCUACGGGAGGCAGCAGUGGGGAAUAUUGGACAAUGGGCGCAAGCCUGAUCCAGCCAUGCCGCGUGAGUGAUGACGGCCUUAGGGUUGUAAA
rnacentral:rRNA from 1 species